rnacentral:lncRNA from 1 species
AGGAUUGUGACCUUAUACAAAUCGUCUGUUUGUAAUAGGUUCUUGUAGCCCAACAGCCUUAUAGGCUCAAAAGCAAAAGGUAGAUUUUAAGGGAUGCAAAACAAAAUUCGCAAAGGGACGAAAUUUGGAAGAGAAAUUUGGACGAGAUGUAAAUUUUGUUGUGCUAGAAUCAAUGAGAUGGGUAAUGAUUUGUGCAAAUUUGGAGGAAAAACUUGCGAAGAGGAUUUUUGCUACACAUCAUGCAAGCUUUGC